rnacentral:rRNA from 1 species
GAUGAACGCUGGCGGCGUGCCUAAUACAUGCAAGUCGAGCGAACGGACGAGAAGCUUGCUUUUCUGAUGUUAGCGGCGGACGGGUGAGUAACACGUGGAUAACCUACCUAUAAGACUGGGAUAACUUCGGGAAACCGGAGCUAAUACCGGAUAAUAUUUUGAACCGCAUGGUUCAAAAGUGAAAGACGGUCUUGCUGUCACUUAUAGAUGGAUCCGCGCUGCAUUAGCUAGUUGGUAAGGUAACGGCUUACCAAGGCAACGAUGCAUAGCCGACCUGAGAGGGUGAUCGGCCACACUGGAACUGAACCACGGUCCAGACUCCUACGGGAGGCAGCAGUAGGGAAUCUUCCGCAAUGGGCGAAAGCCUGACGGAGCAACGCCGCGUGAGUUAUGAAGGUCUUCGGAUCGUAAAACUCUGUUAUUAGGGAAGAACAUAUGUGUAAGUAACUGUGCACAUCUUGACGGUACCUAAUCAGAAAGCCACGGCUAACUACGUG